rnacentral:rRNA from 1 species
AACGUAGGUGGCAAGCGUUAUCCGGAUUUACUGGGCGUAAAGGGUGUGCAGGCGGGGUUGCAAGUGGUGGAUGAAAUCUCCCGGCUUAACCGGGAGGGGUUAUGCCAGACUGCAAUUCUAGAGGACGAGAGAGGGGGGUGGAAUUCCGGGUGUAGUGGUGAAAUGCGUAGAGAUCCGGAGGAACCCCAGAGGCGAAGGCGGCCCCCUGGCUCGUACCUGACGCUCAGCCACGAAAGCAUGGGGAGCGAACGGG